GUGCGGCGUCUGCGGCAGCCACGUGCUAAACAAAGCGUUUUUUUGGGGUUUUUUUGCAUGACGUCAGUCACAUGACGUCAGUCUCGCUAUAAAGCUCCAGAAUACGGUGCGGCUGCUGCAGAAGGCAACGCAUCUUUUGUUUUUGGUGUCACAGUUGAUUCUACAGGCUUUAAGGAACAGCAAGAUGAAGGUCAUUGUGGUGAUGUUGGUUGUAAUGUGCAGCUUGGUGGGUCUGGGCCUUUCUGCUUCAGCAACCAACAGCUCAUCCACGUAUGGAUCUGGUUCCAGUGGCACCGGCACCGGCACCACCACCACCAGUGGGGCUUUGGCCACCAUCUUCUCCUCACCUGGUGGAAACAUUCUGCUCUUUCUCACCGUGCCGAUGGUCCUCUUCGUCCAAGCGCUGAUGAAGUAGCGGCUUGGACAGAAUCCGGCUCAGGAAAUGAUCGACGCUCCAGAUCCUCAUAUGACCAAAUAAGAAUCUAAUAACCGAGUAGAUUGGGUGGAUGGAAUACUUUUUUGUUUCAUUCUGAAAUCUAACACGAUCCGACAACAUAACUGACAUUUAGCACUUUCGUUCUUCUGUACCAGGGGUGUGUUUACUGUCCUUUGUGUUUCUGUGAUCCGAUGUGCUUGAGCUACAGGUUACCAUGUUAUUGAGCAUUAAGUGGUCCAACUGGUCCAGGCUGCUUCCGCUCUGCUUCGUCCGAAACAAGACGAGAGCUUGCGAGAACCGGUGGAACUGCAAGACCAGGAACAGCAGAACAUCCUGAAGAACAUCAUCAACUCCAUCUUGAGCUAAACUAAUUGGAAAAUGUUUCCAUGCUUUCAAAUCUCUCGGUAUAUUUUUUCCCCUACAAGUUAAAGAUCUUGCUCUUGUUAGAAGACACCAUGUGUAGAAAUGUUCUGCUCUUUCACUUGUUUGGUUCAUGUCCAUCCCCCCCCCCCCAUCGUUCCACACUGACUCUCUUCUCAAACCGUCUCGGCAUGUAACCGAUGCUCUGAAAUCUUCAGAUUAAUUAAUAAGAAUGUAGUAAUUGUGUAACUGAUAAACGAAACCCUUCUCUGAAUCCUUUACUUUUCUUUAUUCUCGGCUUGAACCUGUUGAAUAUUCAUGAAACUGAUUAGAAUGUCCAUAUUUUUGUGUGUGCUUAUAUGACCUUUGGGGUUUCGUCUUAAAAUGUUAGCAUGAAAUAAAAAGCCUAACUCAUUAAAAA